GAGCGCUUUGUGAGGGCCGGCUGGCUGCCCACUCCCUUAAGGGAGCUUGACAGAUCUUAAAAAAAAAUCAAUUUUAAGCUCACAUGCCCCAGUGGGUGCCAAAGCCACUUCAGAGAGGCUGAGAGAUGGCUGAGUCGACAGGAUUUGACUUCCAGAGGUAGAAAGCAGCUGACCUUUCACUGGGAGAAAGCUCUGGGAGGUUGGCAUCAGUCUGGGCCAGCCAUGUGCUAAAAUACCUCCCAGAGCUGAAUGGUGGCGAGCCCAGCUUGUCUGCGGUGGGAAAGCAGGGAAUCCCUGACCAAAGAGCGGGGUGUGGUGUGAACAUCAUUGUAUUAGAGCUACUCAGAGGAGCAACAAGCUGCACCAUGUGACUUAGCCACAGAUUUUUUGGUUCUGCAGGUAAAUCUCU